rnacentral:rRNA from 1 species
UAUAUUAAGUUGUUGCAGUUAAAAGCUCGUAGUUGAAUUUCGGGGUUAGUAAGUUGGUCAUGCCUCUGGUAUGNACUGGCUUUACUGAUUCCUCCUUCUUGAUGAACUGUAAUGUCAUUAAUUUGGUGUUGCAGGGAAUCAGGACUGUUACUUUGAAAAAAUUAGA